rnacentral:rRNA from 1 species
AGGGUGUAUGGUGGAUGUCUUGGCGUCAAAGGCCGAUGAAGGACGUGGUAGCCUGCGAUAUGCCUCGGGGAGCUGGCAAACAAGCUUUGAUCCGGGGAUUUCCGAAUGGAGCAAUCCGCCGACCAUUGGUCGGCAUCCAAUCCUGAAUUCAUAGGGCUUGGAAGGGCACGCAGGGAAGUGAAACAUCUCAGUACCUGCGGGAAAGGAAAGCAAACGCGACUCCCCCAGUAGCGGCGAGCGAAAAGGGAUGAGCCUAAACCGGCGGCAGGGAAACCUAUCGCCGGGGUUGCGGGACCCCGCAAGGUUCAAGCAAGCGUUAGGCGAACUGCACUGGAAAGGCAGCCCACAGAGGGUGAUAGACCCGUAGCCGAAAACGCAAGCGAGGACCGGGGAAUCCCAAGUAACGCCGAGCCCGUGAAACUCGGCGUGAAUCAGGGAGGUCCACCUCCUAAGGCUAAGUACCUUUGACGACCGAUAGCGUAAAAGUAGCGCGAGUGAAAGAUGAAAAGAACCCCUACUAGGGGAGUGAAAUAGAACCUGAAACCAUACACUUAGAAGCGGUGGGAGCCCUGUGGCAGGCCGUCUUCGGACGGUCUGUUCGGGUGACCGCGUGCCUCUUGCAUAAUGAGCCUGGGAGUUACCGUCGUGUGCGAGGUUAAGCGCCUCAGGUGCGGAGCCGAAGUGAAAGCGAGCGUGAAUAGCGCGAUAAGUACGCGGCGGUAGACCCGAAGCCGUGGUGAUCUAUCCAUGGUCAGGUUGAAGCGGAUGUAAAAGUCCGUGGAGGACCGAACACACUUGCGUUGAAAAGCGAGGUGAUGAACUGUGGAUAGGAGUAAAAGGCUAAUCAAACCCGGUGAUAUCUGGUUCUCCCCGAAAUAGCUUUAGGGCUAGCCUUGCGAAUUCUGCGGCGGGGGUAAAGCACUGAUUGGGUUUCAGGCCUUCACCGGUACUGUACCUAGUCAAACUCUGAAUACCGCCGUAAGUUAUCGCAGGAGUCAGACCGUGGGGGAUAAGCUUCACGGUCGAGAGGGAAACAGCCCAGACCGCCGGCUAAGGCCCCUAAACACACGCUAAGUGGAUAAGGAUGUGAGAAUGCUAAGACAGCCAGGAUGUUGGCUUAGAAGCAGCCAUCAUUUAAAAAGUGCGUAACAGCUUACUGGUCGAGCAUUUUCGCGCCUAAAAUGUAUGGGACUUAAGCGUGUUGCCGAAGCCGCGGGAUCAGAUUCCGUUCGCGGAGCCUGAUCGGUAGGGGAGCGUUGCACUCUGCGUUGAAGACGGACGGUAACGACCGUUGGAGCGUGUGCAAGUGAUUCUCCAGGCACGAGUAGCGAUAAUAUGAGUGAGAAUCUCAUUCGCCGUAAGCCUAAGGUUUCCUGGGGAAGGUAAUUCCGCCCAGGGUUAGCCGGGACCUAAGUCAAGGCCGAAAGGCGUAGACGAUGGACAGCAGGUUAAUAUUCCUGCGCCGCCGUGACACGAUAAAGAACGCCGAUGGUGCGAGGACGGCCAAGCCGCAAGACCCAUUAGACACGGUCGAAAGGGUUUAGCCCAUUCGUGGCCGAUCCGUCCCCCGAGAAAAGCCGUUUGGCGGAGUGUCAUGCGCGCCCGUACUAAGACUGACACAGGUAGGCGAGGAGAGCAUCCUAAGGCGCUCGAGAGAACCGCCGUUAAGGAACUCGGCAAAAUUGGUCCGUAACUUCGGGAUAAGGACCGCCUCCGGUCCCUCUUGUUCGCAAGGGGAAACCGGGGGUCGCAGAGAAUACGCCCUGGCGACUGUUUACUAAAAACACAGGUCUGUGCCAAGACAUCGAAGUCGAUGCAUACAGACUGACGCGUGCCCGAUGCCGGUAAGUUAAGGGGAUGGGUUAGUCCGCUUCGGCGGGCGAAGCUCCUAACCGAAGCUCCGGUGAAUGGCGGCCCUAACUAUGAGGGUCCUAAGGUAGCGUAGUUCCUUGUCACAUAAUUAGUGACGUGCAUGAAACGCGUAACGACUGGGGCACUGUCUCAACGGCGGACUCGGCGAAACUGUAGUCGUGGUAAAGAUGCCACGUUCCCGCAGCAAGACGGAAAGACCCCGUGGACCUUUACUGUACCCUAGCAUCGGGUUUCGGUAUGGUCUGUGUAGCAUAGGUGGGAGGCUUUGAAGCCGCGGCGCCAGCCGUGGUGGAGCCGCAAUGUGAAAUACCACCCUUACUAUGCUGAAGUUCUAACCGCGACCCGUGAAUCCGGGCGCGGGACAGUGUUAGGCGGGCAGUUUGACUGGGGCGGUCUCCUCCCAAAGAGUAACGGAGGAGCCCUAAGGUUCCCUCAAUGCGGUUGGCAAUCGCAUGGCGAGUGCAAGGGCACAAGGGAGCUUGACUGCAAGACCAAUAAGUCGAGCAGAUGCGAAAGCAGGGCUUAGUGAUCCGGCGGAUCCGUGUGGAAGGGCCGUCGCUCAACAGAUAAAAGGUACCCCGGGGAUAACAGGCUUAUCUCCCCCGAGCGUCCAUAGCGGCGGGGAGGUUUGGCACCUCGAUGUCGGCUCGUCGCAUCCUGGGGCUGGAGAAGGUCCCAAGGGUUCCGGAGUUCACGGAUUAAAGCGGCACAUGAGCUGGGUUUAGACCGUCGUGAGACAGGUCGGUCCCUAUCUGCUGUGGGUGUUGGAGACUUGAAGGGGGUUUCCCUCUAGUACGAGAGGAUCGAGGGGGACGGACCUCUGGUGUUCCAGUUGUCCCGCUAGGGGCAUCGCUGGGUAGCUAUGUCCGGAACGGAUAAACGCUGAAAGCAUCUAAGCGUGAAACCCGCCCCGAAAAUAGGUCUCCCUGGCCCUUGAGGCCAUAAGGCACGUCGAAGACUACGACGUUGAUAGGCGGGAGGUGUAAGGGCGUAUAUCUAAAGGCCCUGAGCUGACCCGUACUAAUACGCCGACUGGUUCGCAC